UGGGGAAUUUUGGACAAUGGGCGAAAGCCCGAUCCAGCAAUGCCGCGUGUGUGAAGAAGGCCUUCGGGUUGUAAAGCACUUUUGUCCGGAAAGAAAUCCUUGGCUCUAAUACAGUCGGGGGAUGACGGUACCGGAAGAAUAAGCACCGGCUAACUACGUGCCAGCAGCCGCGGUAAUACGUAGGGUGCAAGCGUUAAUCGGAAUUACUGGGCGUAAAGCGUGCGCAGGCGGUUUGCUAAGACCGAUGUGAAAUCCCCGGGCUCAACCUGGGAACUGCAUUGGUGACUGGCAGGCUAGAGUAUGGCAGAGGGGGGUAGAAUUCCACGUGUAGCAGUGAAAUGCGUAGAGAUGUGGAGGAAUACCGAUGGCGAAGGCAGCCCCCUGGGCCAAUACUGACGCUCAUGCACGAAAGCGUGGGGAGCAAACAGGAUUAGAUACCCUGGUAGUCCACGCCCUAAAACGAUGUCAACUAGUUGUUGGGGAUUCAUUUCCUUAGUAACGUAGCUAACGCGUGAAGUUGACCGCCUGGGGAGUACGGUCGCAAGAUUAAAACUCAAAGGAAUUGACGGGGUCAUAGCUGUUUCCU
rnacentral:rRNA from 1 species